AAUCAGGAGAGACGUCUAGAAACUUCUAAAAGCCAGGUCUCUCCUGUGUAUAGAUGUGUCUACAGUAGGGCAAUGUGAACACACAGGGCCCAGGAGAGGAGUGACCACCUUGUCAGCCCAGAGUGAACCUUGCAUCUUGGACCAGACACAGAACUAAGUAGAGAUUUCGGCCGAAAAAUCGUAAGAUGCUACGAUCGUUCGAAUCCCACUAACCGCACGAUAAUUUCGAAGGAUUGGUCGAGCUUCCCUAAAAUCGGUCGUUCUGCAAGAAGAAUCGUCGCGUCUAUGGGGAGCUUAAGACUGAGCAAAGACAAGAUCCUGGGAAGCUGUGCUACAGAAACAGGCAUCCAUUCUCAGUUCCUUCUUCCCUUGGAUGAAAACAGUGCUCGGAUCUUCAAGUUGAUCUUCCUUAUUACACGUAAACUCUCUUGAGUGCCUAUAAAGAAAAGCUUGUCAGAGGAGGCAAAGGAGUCACACUAGUCACUACUGGGCAUCCACAGCCUUGGACUGGAGGAGUAAUAGGACUCAUUCACCAACUGAAUAAUGAACAAACUGACAGAAGGGUCAACAUUUCCUGAAGGGGAAGGCUUGAUGCCACAGAAUCCUUGCAUUGACAGCCCGAAUUUUCCUGCAGACUUUACUGAAAUCUCAGAUCUGAUCCGUUACACCAGUUUUGUGUUAUCUGUACUCACCUGUGCCCUGGGCUUAGUGGGCAAUGCUCUUGUUAUCUGGGUUACCGGAUUCCACAUGAAGAAACACGUUGGCAAGAUUUGGUUCCUAAACUUGGCUGUGGCAGAUAUUGUCUUUUGUCUUCUGUUUGCCUCUUUAUUGUGUUGCCUUAUUUACAGACUAGUGGCUAUUCGGGCAAUACCUAUGUAAAAUUUAUAAUUAUGUAUCUACGUGUAAUAUGUAUGCAAGUAUUUUUAUCAUAACUACCCUAACCAUCGACAGGGUUUUGGCGACGGCUAAACCAAUAUGGCACCAUAACUUUAGCUCUCGCUGUAUUUGUUUUGCAACCUGUACAGUGAUUUGGGUAAUAACAGCUCUGUCCAGCCUUCCCAUAUUCUUUUUAAGCGAUGAAGUUAUUUAUCAGGAAAAUGUGCAGUGCAAACUGGUUCAUGUUAAACAGAGAAUAACUACACACAGACUUAGCAACAGAGACGUAACUACACCACCCUUUCUUGGAGAACCUCUAGAUACUUAUCUUGCACCCCAAUCCGCAUGCGAAGUGGAUAGAAACAUACUGUACUUUUCAAAAAACUGCGUUAUAAUUCCUUUUCUAGUGGUUGGUUACUUUAUCCCAUUGUUUGUCAUACCAUUUUCCAAUGUAAUUAUUGCUCAGCAAGUGAGAAAAUCCGAGUCAGUGAAUACUUCCAGACUGUACAGAAUUAUAAUAACAGUGAUUCUGUUUUUUUUUAUAACAUGGACACCAGUGGUUAUAGCACAGAUUAUUUUGCUGGUCUCUCUGCACAAUCGCAACCUUAUACUCAUGUCUCAGAUGCACAGGUUUAUACCUCUAAUGACCAGCAUAGCUUAUACUAACUCCUGUAUAAACCCUUUCAUAUAUGCACUGGUUGGUACUUAGCUUAGAGCAGAAAUUACAGAUUUCAUAAGUAGCAAAAGACAGUUGCUUUCAAGAAGCUCAACCUCUGGAAAAUCUUAUGCGGAACCAUAAAUUAUGAUAAUACAGGUAUGAGAUCCAUUAUCCACUAAGCUCUGAAUUACAGAAAAGCUGUAUGCCAUAGACUCCAUUUUAUAACAUUACAUUUGUAUUUGUGUUUUAAA